rnacentral:misc_RNA from 1 species
UACGUAGGGGGCAAGCGUUGUCCGGAAUUAUUGGGCGUAAAGGGCGCGCAGGCGGUCUGGCAAGUCUGAUGUGAAAGGCCACGGCUCAACCGUGGGAAUGCAUUGGAAACUGUUGGACUUGAGUACAGGAGAGGGGAGUGGAAUUCCACGUGUAGCGGUGAAAUGCGUAGAGAUGUGGAGGAACACCAGUGGCGAAGGCGGCUCUCUGGCCUGUAACUGACGCUGAGGCGCGAAAGCGUGGGGAGCGAACAGG